ACGGGUGAGUAAUACAUCUGGAACGUGUCCUGUAGUGGGGGAUAGCCCGGCGAAAGCCGGAUUAAUACCGCAUACGCUCUACGGAGGAAAGGGGGGGAUCUUAGGACCUCCCGCUACAGGGGCGGCCGAUGGCAGAUUAGCUAGUUGGUGGGGUAAAGGCCUACCAAGGCGACGAUCUGUAGCUGGUCUGAGAGGACGACCAGCCACACUGGGACUGAGACACGGCCCAGACUCCUACGGGAGGCAGCAGUGGGGAAUUUUGGACAAUGGGCGAAAGCCUGAUCCAGCAAUGCCGCGUGUGUGAAGAAGGCCUUCGGGUUGUAAAGCACUUUUGUCCGGAAAGAAAACCUCCGCCCUAAUAUGCUGGGGGGAUGACGGUACCGGAAGAAUAAGCACCGGCUAACUACGUGCCAGCAGCCGCGGUAAUACGUAGGGUGCAAGCGUUAAUCGGAAUUACUGGGCGUAAAGCGUGCGCAGGCGGUCCGCUAAGACAGAUGUGAAAUCCCCGGGCUUAACCUGGGAACUGCAUUUGUGACUGGCGGGCUAGAGUAUGGCAGAGGGGGGUAGAAUUCCACGUGUAGCAGUGAAAUGCGUAGAGAUGUGGAGGAAUACCGAUGGCGAAGGCAGCCCCCUGGGCCAAUACUGACGCUCAUGCACGAAAGCGUGUGGAGCACACAGGAUUAGAUACCCUGGUAGUCCACGCCCUAAACGAUGUCAACUA
rnacentral:rRNA from 1 species